AAGAAGAAGAACGAAAAAGGAAACAAAAAAGUAAAAGAUAAACAAAAAAAGAAAAAAAGAAAAAAAAGAAUAUGAUAAAGAAGAAAAAGAAGAAGAAGAAGAAGAAGAAGAAGGAGGAGAAGACCAAAUGAGGAGAAGACGCAUGUAAAAAAAACAGCCGCCUUUUAUACUUGCAGUGAAAAGAAUGAAUAAAAGAUAAAGACGAGAGAGCGAAGGGUGAAGAAUGCAUAAUAAACUAGAGAGAGAGAGAGAGAGAGAGAGAGAGAGAGAGAGAGAGAGAGAGAGAGAGAGAGAGAGAGAGAGAGAGAGAGAGAGAGAGAGAGAGAGACA